GCAGAGCAACAUCUUUCACAAUUUCAUUUUUGAAAAAAUUAAUUAAAGUUGGAUGAGGCUCAAGAAAAGAAAGCCUAAUUUAGUUCCCUAUUUUAAAAGUUUUCAGGGACUCAUCAUGAGGGUCCACAUCAGUGGCAAAGUCAAUGAUGAGCUUGUUUCGAGUACAAGAGCAUUGUUUCAAGAGUCUAGAAAUCUUCACAUUCUUCUUCGUGCCACUAAACCGAGCUAUGCACAUGGGUUGCAGUAAUAGCCCUUGAGAAUUCUUCUUGUUGAGAAGCUGCCCGCACGCAUGAGGGGGUGAUACUCACCUUAGCUGUAUUAUGAGUCACAUUCCAAAUAACGUGCAUGCACGGUAGCAUCAUCAUUGCUACAAUUUAAUAGGGAACCAUUACAGUUGGAAGGGCUGUUUGUCAUUGCUAGGGGCCAAUUCUCAUGAUAGCCGUUGAGAUGACUAGGGAUAGUCGAGCCGGCUUCAAUGUUGGAUACAUGCGUAGAAGUAAUACGUGCGGAUUCUUCAACAGAAGAUGAGGGAGAAGAGGAUUCUUCCACCUAAGGAACCAAAGAACUUAUGCUAAAACUGGGGAAAAUUUCAUAACAAAGAUGAAAUUUAACAUUAUCAACAUCCACACUAAUAACUUUGUGAAUAAACUCUAAGCAUGUGGUUGAAAUGAGAAUUCGAGCAGAGUCCAUU
rnacentral:misc_RNA from 1 species